GUUGUGGCCAUUGCAAGUACUGCUUUAGAGAAUUUUAAGAAUGAAGCUAAAAAAUGGUGGUUGCUCUAGUUGAUAUGAAACGUGCUUUUGUGCCUCAACACUUUAUCCGUUUGGUUCAAAGAAGGAUGGACAGACAGCGCAGAGAGGAAGAGGUAAAAAAACAAUUCAUUAAAAAAGGGCAAGAUGCAGAACAAUCUCUACUGAACAGAAUCAACCUCAUUGUUGAGACUUCUGAUAAUGCUGAAGUUGGUUGUAGCUGAUGGGAAGUUGAAUUUAGAUGAUAAUGCUGCUUUCCGCCAGAAAAAGAUCUUUGCUCUUCCUGAUAGGACCCAAGAGCACCCUCGAGAAUUUUGACCAUGUUAAUCUGGUUUUCUUUCCUUAUACUCAUUUGUCGUUGUGCAAAAUGAAAACUUGCAGACUAAUAUCUCUGUACAUUUGAUCUAAGGAUUGUCUAGUACUUUGUCAUGUAUGAAUAUAAGUAGCAAGAGUAACAGUAGGUGAACUAUUUUGUUCAAUUCAUGACAUUCAUUUUAUUGGAUUUCAGGUGGCUUGAUUUGAACACAUGGGCUUAGAUGAGAAAAUUGGGUACAUUGUUAAUGGUCAUGCGGGAUUUUACAAUUUCUACCAUGGACAUAAUUAAGUUGCCUGUGGAACUACUGCCAAUUUUUUAGAUGCCGAUGGCAGUGCUUCUGAACCCCAGCUAAGUGACAUCCUAUCGGCAGAAUUUGGAGUAGCUCUUGCAGUGUGAGCUCAAGUAGGCACGCAAAAGCAAGCGCAUAUGUCCUCCGAAACUUCGUUGGAGGCUUCCCUUCCUCCUCUUUUAUGCUAACAUGUCUACAUGUUCUGAUCACCAUGAAGUAAAGCAUGCAUAGUGUGAAUAAAUCAGAAAGUUGUUGAAUUUUAAGUUGCAAGGGUGCAAGAUGAAUCUAAAGUCUAAUUUGGGAUGGCUCCUAAGGUAAGCAUUGUUAGUGUUCUCUUCUAGUUUCCUGCAGUAGUCAUAAGACUCGUAACCUUCCGAGUCUUUCCAGACAGGAACAUAGUUUACAACAUUGCGUUUUUCAAAUUUCUAACAUUUAGACAUUCACCUAUAUCCUCCAUGUUGGUUUCUAUGCAAAUUAUGAUUAAGACCCUAGCAGAUAGGUAUUGAAAAUUAGGAUAACUGAGUUUACGUCGCAACCACAAAAUGUAGGUUAUAUCGCAAAGCCUUACGAUCACAAGGCGAACAUUUUCAGUUUCACAAUUGUGUUGUAGGAGAUGCUAACUAGAAAGGUAAAAAAUCUAGUAAAAUUUUGUUUGGAAACUGAACUUG